UCUGACCAGUGCUGUCUACAAACACCUUGCUCACAUUAAAAUAGAAAUACUGGUGACAUUUUGUGAACCUAAUAAAUUCUCCUCUGCAGUGCAUCCUGACUUUCCACCCAGACUUUGUUUCAAAUGCAGUGAAACCCGAGGGAUCAUCCCAGCCAUGCACACAACUCCUUGAAAGUUUGCAAGAAUGGGAAAAAGCACGUGAUGGCUGCACGAGAGUUACCUUCCAGUGGAAAACGCCAAGUUGUUGUAAGUCCUCCAACGAUACGGGUCGAUUCGGAUCGAGCUUGUGCGGCUUUCUCUGGUCUUCGUCAGAGUUGUCCAUGUACCAGGCUUCUAUCGCCAUGUUUACAAAUCUGUAACCGUCUUGACACACCCAAUAACAACACGUCAAGUUUGCA